rnacentral:rRNA from 1 species
AUUGAACGCUGGCGGCGUGCCUAACACAUGCAAGUCGAGCGGUAACAGGUGUAGCAAUACAUGCUGACGAGCGGCGAACGGGUGAGUAAUGCUUCGGAAUCUACCCAAUGGUGGGGAAUAACCAGCCGAAAGGUUGGCUAAUACCGCAUACGUCCCACGGGAGAAAGCAGGGGAUCGCAAGACCUUGCGCCAAUGGAUGAGCCGAAGUCGGAUUAGCUAGUUGGAGGGUAACGGCCUACCAAGGCGACGAUCCGUAGCUGGUCUGAGAGGACGACCAGCCACACUGGGACUGAGACACGGCCCAGACUCCUACGGGAGGCAGCAGUGGGGAAUAUUGGACAAUGGGGGAAACCCUGAUCCAGCGACGCCGCGUGUGUGAAGAAGGCCU